CACGCUUUGCGCUAAAGCCACUUGGUACCACCAAACUUUAACCAGAAUUUACACACCCACGUUAAUGUGUGAUCUAAUUUUUUGUCAUCCAAAAAGCCACUGGGAUCAAUUAGGCACACACAGUUUACUAGAGAUAUAAUAAAUGUUUGAGGCGUUAUUAGGUCAAGCAUUGAAUAUGGCGUGCUAUAGUUAAUGGUUUUUGACGCUUAAAGUUAAGAAAUUUGUAACAAUGUAUCUAUACCCUGCGUUAAGACAGUGUGAAUGAGUGAACGUAGAAAUUUAAAGCCUAGAAAGGGUAAUUUAACAAAUUUUUGGCUGGGCCCCCCCAACACCCAGUCCUGGCUACGCCGCUGAUCCUGAGCACGACCAGUCCUAUCUUACAUACGAGAAAACGCCUCAUAAAGUUGCACUUUCAAAAUAUACUCCACGUUUCUCCUCUUCGGGCGCAAGUACCUCCACCAAACCUAAGCAUUGGCAGAUAGUGUCUUUUGAAAAUUUGUGAUCGAUUGUCACACGUUUGGUCACAAUUCGGAGAGCAUACAUACGCUGGGAAACCUCCAUUAUAUAUUGUCUAAUUCGUCGUCGUUACCACAAAUUCAUCACUUUUCAUACCUGCAAGGCUAAUCUUAUUCAGCAUGCAUAUUCCCUUCAUUUUAGUAUUUGUGGGAACCCUGGAACAAGAUUUUUCAGAGUAUUUAAGUGUGGUUGGUAACUUUGCAUUGUUGCGUUUACUUGUGUAGCAGUAGUCCCCUCGCAACAAUAAAUGCAAUGCAUGAGAUGACUUACAUAUGUAUGUAUGCAUGCAUAUACAUAUGUAAAAAAAAACUUGUUUUUAACUCGCUACAGCUGUGUACCAUUGUUUAAAAGUAGCGUAUUGAACGCUAGUUUACACAAAUUCGUUAAAUAAGUACUUUGUCUGUGGAAUAAUAUUUUUUUACUGCGCUAUUUAUUUGAUUUAUCCAUGAAAAUGGACCCAUCACCCGAGGGUUGCACAACUUCCACCCCCACCACGACGCAGUUGAAUAUAAGCGAAAGUCCGGAAGCGAGAUGGAACACGCGUUUGCGAAUAUUCUCCAUCAUACUUUUUAUCACGAAUACAACGUUAUUUUUUAUUUACCUCUUUUUCGUAAAAAAUGAGUCUAUUUUGACUUCAUUGGGGAUCGCGCUGGGCGUCGCGCUAAUUGGAUUGAUAAUUGGAGGGCUUUUUUUGGGUUGUAGCUACAUUUAUAAGCAAAGAAACUAAUAUUUAUGAAAUUAAUAAUUCUACCAAACCAAGGAAACCAUCUCAUUGGCAGCUUGUAUAUUAUUUUGUAUGUUGAUCUAUAAUAAGGAAAUAAAGGUGUACAGUUUGCAAUCCUGAUAAA